rnacentral:rRNA from 1 species
UAUCGAGGUGGGACUAAGACAUGCUAGUUGAACGCCCCCGGACUAUGGCGGGGGAGUGGCACACUGCUCAGUAACACGUAGCUAACCUACCCUCGGGACGGAGAUAACCCCGGGAAACUGGGGCUAAUAUCCGAUAGAUGUGGAUUCCUGGAAUGGUGCCACGUCGAAAAGUUUGUGCUCCCAUGUUGAGUGCACACGCCCGAGGAUGGGGCUGCGGCCGAUCAGGCUGUUGGCGAGGUAAAGGCUCACCAAACCUUUGACCGGUACGGGCCGUGAGAGCGGUAGCCCGGAGAUGGGCACUGAGACAAGGGCCCAGGCCCUACGGGGCGCAGCAGUUACGAAACCUCCACAAUGCACGCAAGUGCGAUGGGGUUACCUCGAGUGCCGUCUGAAGAAGGCGGCUUUUCCACUGUGUAAUGAGCCGUGGGAAUAAGGGGGGGGCAAGACUGGUGUCAGCCGCCGCGGUAACACCAGCCCCUCGAGUUGUGGGGAUGAUUAUUUGGCCUAAAGCGUCCGUAGCCGGCCCGGUAAAUCUCUCGUUAAAUCCAGCGUCCUAAGCGUUGGGCUGCGAGGGAGACUGCCAGGCUAGAGGGUGGGAGAGGUCAGCGGUAUUUCUGGGGUAGGGGCGAAAUCCAUUGAUCCCAGGAGGACCACCAGUGGCGAAGGCUGCUGACUAGAACACGCCUGACGGUGAGGGACGAAAGCUGGGGUAGCGAAUCGGAUUAGAUACCCGAGUAGUCCCAGCCGUAAACGAUGCAGGCUAGGUGUUGGGUCGGCCACGCGCCGGCUCAGUGCCACAGGGAAGCCAUUAAGCCUGCCGCCUGGGGAGCACGGCCGCAAGGCUGAAACUUAAAGGAAUUGGCGGGAGAGCACCACCAGGCGUGAAGCCUGCGGUUUA